UUUUUAUAGCAUUAAUUAUAAAUAAAAUCUGCUCAGUGUACAAUAAAUAGCCGCAGAAAAUUAACUGUGCUAAGGUAGCAUAAUCAUUAGUUUUUUAAUUAAAGACUAGAAUGAAAGAUUUAACAUUUAAAUUACUUUUUUCAAUAUAAAUUUUUAAAUUAUAUUAAUAAUAAAAAUAUUAUUUUCUAAAAAAUAGACAACAAGACCCUAUUGAGCUUAAACUACAGUUUAGCUGGGGCAGCUUAUUAAUUAAAAUUUUAAUACUAAUAUAAAAAUGACCUAAUAUAAUUAACAAAAUGAAUAAGCUACCAUAGGGAUAACAGCGUAAUAGAUUUUUAAAGCUCUUAUUAAAAAAAAAGAUUACGACCUCGAUGUUGAAUUAGUAUAACAAUAAAAGUGUAAAAACUUUAUUAGAAGGUCUGUUCGACCUUUAAUAUACUACA
rnacentral:rRNA from 1 species